rnacentral:rRNA from 1 species
GUAGGGAAUAUUGGGCAAUGGUCGGAAGACUGACCCAGCCAUGCCGCGUGCAGGAAGACGGCCCUCUGGGUUGUAAACUGCUUUUAUCUGGGAAGAAAAAGGCCAUGCGUGGCAAAUUGCCGGUACCAGAUGAAUAAGCACCGGCUAACUCCGUGCCAGCAGCCGCGGUAAUACGGAGGGUGCGAGCGUUGUCCGGAUUUAUUGGGUUUAAAGGGUGCGUAGGCGGCUGAUUAAGUCAGCGGUGAAAGACUUCGGCUUAACCGGAGCAGUGCCGUUGAUACUGGUUGGCUUGAGUGUCGGAGGGGUACAUGGAAUUGAUGGUGUAGCGGUGAAAUGCAUUGAUACCAUCAGGAACACCGAUAGCGAAGGCAUUGUACUGGCCGACAACUGACGCUGAUGCACGAAAGUGUGGGGAUCGAACAGGAUUAGAAACCCGUGUAGUCC